rnacentral:rRNA from 1 species
CCUACGGGGGGCAGCAGUGGGGAAUAUUGGACAAUGGGGGGAACCCUGAUCCAGCGACGCCGCGUGAGUGAAGAAGUAUUUCGGUAUGUAAAGCUCUAUCAGCAGGGAAGAAAGAAAUGACGGUACCUGACUAAGAAGCCCCGGCUAACUACGUGCCAGCAGCCGCGGUACUACGUAGGGGGCAAGCGUUAUCCGGAUUUACUGGGUGUAAAGGGAGCGUAGACGGCGAUGCAAGUCUGAAGUGAAAGGCGGGGGCCCAACCCCCGGACUGCUUUGGAAACUGUAUGGCUGGAGUGCAGGAGAGGUAAGUGGAAUUCCUAGGGUAGCGGUGAAAUGCGUAGAUAUUAGGAGGAACACCAGUGGCGAAGGCGGCUUACUGGACUGUAACUGACGUUGAGGCUCGAAAGCGUGGGGAGCAAACAGGAUUAGAUACCCUUGUAGUC